rnacentral:lncRNA from 1 species
UCUGGCUCGUUAAGGGUCUGACCCCCUGUCAUAGUCCAGCAGAAAGAAUAUGAGCUUUAAAAGACUUACUUUUCUGGGUUCACUGCUAGCCUAGCCCAGUCCCUUGACAAGAUGUUUCUUGGAAGGAGGAAGACACAAAAUUCAACACUGGUGGAAGUUGUGGACAUUGCUAAAGGAGAAAGGUCCCAAUCCUAGAACAACUGUAGCACAUAUAGACUCCUGCAUGCCUUUGAGUUCAGUGGAUCUCUUCAAAGGCCUGCAGUCU